rnacentral:rRNA from 1 species
GACGAACGCUGGCGGCGUGCUUAACACAUGCAAGUCGAACGGAAAGGCCCUGCUUUUGUGGGGUGCUCGAGUGGCGAACGGGUGAGUAACACGUGAGUAUCCUGCCCUUGACUUUGGGAUAACUUCAGGCAACUGGGGCUAAUACCGGAUAGGAGCUCCUGCUGCAUGGUGGUGGUUGGAACGUUUCGGCGGUUGGGGAUGGACUCGCGGCUUAUCAGCUUGUUGGUGGGGUAGUGGCUUACCAAGGCUUUGACGGCUAGUCGGCAUGAGAGGGUGGCCGGGCACAUGGGGACUGAGAUACGGCGCAGACGCGUACGGGAGGCAGCAGGGGGGAAUAUUGCACAAUGGGCGGAAGCCUGAUGCAGCAACGCCGCGUGCGGGAAGACGGUCUUCGGGUGGUAAACCGCUUUCGCCUGUGACGAAGCGUGAGUGACGGUAAUGGGUAAAGAAGCACCGGCUAACUACGUG